rnacentral:rRNA from 1 species
AUUGAACGCUGGCGGCAGGCCUAACACAUGCAAGUCGAGCGAGCGGCGGACGGGUGAGUAAUGUCUGGGGAUCUGCCCGAUGGAGGGGGAUAACUACUGGAAACGGUAGCUAAUACCGCAUACUAUCAGAUGUGCCCAGAUGGGAUUAGCUAGUAGGUGGGGUAAUGGCUCACCUAGGCGACGAUCCCUAGCUGGUCUGAGAGGAUGACCAGCCACACUGGAACUGAGACACGGUCCAGACUCCUACGGGAGGCAGCAGUGGGGAAUAUUGCACAAUGGGCGCAAGCCUGAUGCAGCCAUGCCGCGUGUGUGAAGAAGGCCUUCGGGUUGUAAAGCACUUUCAGCGGGGAGGCGUUACCCGCAGAAGAAGCACCGGCUAACUCCGUGCCAGCAGCCGCGGUAAUAC